rnacentral:rRNA from 1 species
GAGACUCUGUGCGCGUGCAUAUCAAUAAGCGGAGGAAAAGAAACUAACAAGGAUUCCCCUAGUAACGGCGAGUGAAGCGGGAAGAGCUCAAAUUUGAAAUCUUAAAGGGUUUCCCUUUACGAAUUGUAGUUUAAAGAAGUGUUUUCUGUUGGAGUUUCGGUAAAAGUUCUUUGGAAUAGGACAUCAUAGAGGGUGAGAAUCCCGUAUUUGACCGUUACUUUCCAGCUGUGUGAUACACUUUCAAAGAGUCGGAUUGUUUGGGAAUGCAGUCCAAAAUGGGUGGUAAAUUUCAUCUAAAGCUAAAUAUUGGCGAGAGACCGAUAGCGAACAAGUACCGUGAGGGAAAGAUGAAAAGAACUUUGAAAAGAGAGUUAAACAGUACGUGAAAUUGUCAAAAGGGAAGCGUUUGACACCAGUGUUGUUUAGUUGAAAAUCAAUUCAAUAAUUUUUGAUUUUGAGUAGUAUUGACUUCAUCAGCUUGCUGCUUUCUUUUCGGAAAUUAUUGAAUGCACUUUUCAGUUAACAAGUCAACAUCAAUUUCUUUUGUUGUAAAAGGGUAUGAGGAAGGUGGCUUACGCUUCGGCGUAAGUGUUUAUAGCCUUUCACCUCUGCAAUCGGAGAGAUCGAGGACAGCAGCGUAGACUCUUCGGGGUUAGAUACACUUGUGCUAAGCUAUAGCCUUGUAUAGACAACUUGUUGACUAUGCUCAGUCAUGUAGCUUACUCGCUUGUGCUAUUUUACCUACGCUUAGGAUGUUGAACUCUAUCACACACAG